CAGUCUCUCGGGCAACCGGGAGAGCUUGUAAACCCCACCUGGUGCAAGAUCGAAUAAGCUUCCAGAUGUUGUUCGCAUCAUUAUGAGAAGCGGGUAGUUCGCUUGAGGCGAUUGGUGACGAUUGUCCCAGAUGAAUGACCACUGACCCCUGAAUUAUCAGUGGGAGACAGGACUCGGCUUAUAGAUCUUCUCAGACU
rnacentral:RNase_P_RNA from 1 species